AUUGAACGCUGGCGGCAUGCCUUACACAUGCAAGUCGAACGGUAACGGGCCUUCGGGUGCCGACGAGUGGCGAACGGGUGCGUAAUACAUCGGAACGUGCCCGAUCGUGGGGGAUAACGAGGCGAAAGCUUUGCUAAUACCGCAUACGAUCUACGGAUGAAAGCCGGGGACCGCAAGGCCUUGCGCGGACGGAGCGGCCGAUGGCAGAUUAGGUAGUUGGUGGGAUAAAAGCUUACCAAGCCGACGAUCUGUAGCUGGUCUGAGAGGAUGAUCAGCCACACUGGGGCUGGAACACGGCCCCGGCUCCUACGGGAGGGAGCAGUGGGGAAUUUUAGACAAUGGGGGGAAACCUGGUCCAGUCAGGGCGCGUGCAAGGUGGAGGCCUUCGGGGUGUGAACUGCGUUUGUACGGAACAAAAAGCCUUCUUUUAAUACAGGAGGGUCAUGACGGUACCGUAAGAAUAAGCACCGGCUAACUACGUG
rnacentral:rRNA from 1 species